rnacentral:rRNA from 1 species
GACGAACGCUGGCGGCGUGCUUAACACAUGCAAGUCGAACGGAAAGGCCCUGCUUUUGUUGGUUGCUCGAUUGGCGAACGGGUGAGUAACACGUGAGUAACCUGCCCUUGUCUUUCGGAUAACUUCAGGAAACUGGGGCUAAUAUCGCAUAGGAUCUCCUGCUGCAUGUUGGUGGUUGGAAAGUUUCGGCUGUUGGGGAUGGACUCGCAGCUUAUCAGCUUGUUGGUGUGGUAGUGGCUUACCAAGGCUGUGACGGAUAGCCGGCCUGAGAGCGUGACCGGGCACAAGGGGACUGAGAUACGGCCCAGAAGCCAACGGGAGGCAGCAGGGGAGAGUAUUGCACAAUGGGCGGAAGCCAGAGACAGAAACGCCGCGAGCGGAAUGACGGCCUUCGGGUUGAAAACAGAUUUGGAAGGAGACGAAGAGUGAGUGACGGUAAUGAAUAAAGAAGCACCGGCUAACUACGUG